rnacentral:rRNA from 1 species
UACGGUCAAAUCACGCUGAAACACCGGUUCUCGUACGAUCACCGAAGUUAAUCAUCGUAGAGCCAGGUCAGUACUUAGAUGGGGGACCGCUUGGGAACACCUGGUACUGUAAG